rnacentral:rRNA from 1 species
GCAAGUCGAACGAUGAAGCCUAGCUUGCUAGUUGCUGACGAGUGGCGGACGGGUGAGUAAUGUAUAGGAACUUGCCUAGUAGUGGGGGACAACGUGUGGAAACGCACGCUAAUACCGCAUACGCUCUACGGAGGAAAGCAGGGGAUCUUCGGACCUUGCGCUACUAGAUGGGCCUAUAUUGGAUUAGCUAGUUGGUAAGGUAAGAGCUUACCAAGGCGACGAUCCAUAGCUGGUUUGAGAGAAUGAUC